ACCCUCACACCCACACCACCCUCACACCCACACCACCUUCGCUGUCCGCUGUCCACAGCCCAGCCGUCCCAACCCUCACGGCAUCCGCGCCAGGUCACGCACCCAGAGCCCUUGUGCUUUGCCUCACGCUGCUGAAUCAACCCGGCCACAUGUCGGCUCGUGUGGUUGGAGUCUAAGCUUUGGGCAACCUCCCAUGAUGUCACUGAGGACCUGGGAGCUUCCAUGCCUCUACUCAAAGGUCCACAGAGUUGGCUUGUCCUGACAGGGGUUCCUGUUGUGGUUCUCAGGUGCCCUCUCUGUGUCUCCUCUCACGUCUCCCUGGCUCAUUCCGGAACAAUCACCACGAGAGGGAUGGGGUCACCGUUAAUGAAACAGACUCACCCUGGAGCUGGGAGAGCCAUCAGCGUCCACGAGGACACUGAUCUGUGUGGGAGGAAGGAGGCAGGAGGAUUGGACGCCGGGCGGCCACCAACAAUGCCACCAACAGUGCCACCAACAAUGCCACCAACAGUGCCACCAACAAUGCCACCAACAGUGCCACCAACAGUGCCACCAACAAUGCCACCAACAGCGUUAUCAGACCCCUGGCUUCCUGCAGGGACGUGGUCCCAACGUGCACUGCGGCCCAAGGACACUGUCAGCCGGCUCCCUUACUGGACUCUGAGACGCCCGGGAAAACCCAAAAGAACGUGUUCGAUGCCUACAAGGAAACAACGACUGCCUGAGGGACACGACGGGCACAGAUUAAAUGGAGAGUGAGCAUGAAAGGGAGAAACCACGGCAAAGAUUUGAUCAUCCCCAGAUUAAUCAGCAUAAAAGCGUGUGGUGCGUUGACACACGUUGCACCGUCAAGCAGUUGGGACAGAGCGGGCUCGCGUUUGACCAGACUUCACUGAGAACUGAACCCGGCUCACAGGCGUCCACCCCGGGGGCGUGAGGGAACUGACCGCACACUCGCCUCGGGCUUCACGCAGAAUGAAGCUGGCGUCUCCCCCCACCGCUCAUGUGCCUUCUGUGUUGUGACCCGUAGCUGACACAGGGUGAGGGGUCAGUGCCAGGAGACGAAACUGGUGCUGGAGAAAACCAAUGAGCCCGGCAAAUACACGGCCGACGAGGGCAGGCGCGUGGUGCACAUCUCGCCGUCGAACGUGAUGGACCACUACGUUCUUUACUGUGAAGGCGAGCUCCGGGGGAAGCAGAUCCGGAUGGCGAAGCUCGUGGGAAGAGACGCGGAGAACAACCAGGGGGCCCUGGAGGAUUUUAAGACGUUCGCGAGAGACAAAGGGUUCGACCCGGAGAAGAUCUUCACGCUCACGCCCCAUGAAACCUGCUCUCCAGGAAGCGAUUAGGGACGAGGGGGCACCGGGGCUCCACAGCAGCCCUGAGGCGGCAGCACCAGGACCCUCCAUCCUGAAGGACACAGACAGAGUCCCUGACCAGGAGCCUGGGUCACCUCCUGCCACCCUUCCUGCACCUCCACCCCCUCCUCCCCCGCCCUGCAUCCCCCUCCUGGUUCCGCAUAAAGAGCUUCAG
rnacentral:lncRNA from 1 species